rnacentral:rRNA from 1 species
GAUGAACGCUGGCGGCGUGCUUAACACAUGCAAGUCGAACGGUGAAGCAGGAGCUUGCUCUUGUGGAUCAGUGGCGAACGGGUGAGUAACACGUGAGCAACCUGCCCCUGACUCUGGGAUAAGCGCUGGAAACGGCGUCUAAUACUGGAUAUGUGAUGUGACCGCAUGGUCUGCAUCUGGAAAGAAUUUCGGUUGGGGAUGGGCUCGCGGCCUAUCAGCUUGUUGGUGAGGUAAUGGCUCACCAAGGCGUCGACGGGUAGCCGGCCUGAGAGGGUGGGCCGCGAGGCUGGGACUGUGACCCGGCCCAGGCUACUACGGGAGGGAGCAGUGGGGAAUAAUGCACACUGGCCGGAAGGCUGAUGCAGCAACGCGGCGUGGGGGAUGACGGCCUUCGGAUUGUAAACCUCUUUUAGCAGGGAAGAAGCGAAAGUGACGGUACCUGCAGAAAAAGCACCGGCUAACUACGUGCCAGCAGCCGCCGCCG